rnacentral:lncRNA from 1 species
AACUAUAAAGAAAUUAGUUCCUCAUGUUCGCAAAUAAACAAAGAUAAAUAAAUUUAAACAUUGAUAUAAAGAUAGAAAACACCUAGAAAUGCUCCAACAAUCCAAGCUCCUUGAAUGGCAUGCACGGCUCCAAGAAUCUCCUUCCUUCUCCUUUGCAAACUCACGGCACAAGAGGGAUGUUUGGGUGAAUGGUGUAGUGAA